rfam:Rattus norvegicus chromosome 4, whole genome shotgun sequence.
GGGGAUUUAGCUUAGUGGUAGAGCGCUUGCCUAGCAAGCGCAAGGCCCUGGGUUCAGUCCCCA